CAGUCGCCACGGGAAUACGAAGGGUGCAAGCGUUAAUCGGAAUUACUGGGCGUAAAGCGUGCGCAGGCGGUGUUGUAAGACUGAUGUGAAAUCCCCGGGCUCAACCUGGGAACUGCAUCCAAAACUGGCGAGCUAGAGUAUGGUAGAGGGUGGUGGAAUUUCCUGUGUAGCGGUGAAAUGCGUAGAUAUAGGAAGGAACAUCAGUGGCGAAGGCGACCACCUGGACUGAUACUGACACUGAGGUGCGAAAGCGUGGGGAGCAAACAGGAUUAGAUACCCGCGUAGUCCUGUCUCUUAUACA
rnacentral:rRNA from 1 species